GCACAGACACGAACAGCGACAGGGAUAAUUUACAGUCAGAAAACUGAGAAGUACAGAUAUAAUGAAGCACAUAUCAGAACACGUACUGUAAUAGAAAGAUGUUUUGGUGUUCUAAAAAUGUACUUUCGCUGCCUGGAUAGAUCAGGGGGGGAUCUACAAUACAGUCCUGGAAAAAGCAAUAAAAAUCAUAAUAGCAUGUUGCUGUCUACACAACAUGGCACAGGAGCAUGGGAUGUUAAAUUAUUUAAUUCCACCACCACGGCCCCCAGGUGACAUGGAUGAGCCUGAUGUAAUUAAUCAUCCCCAACCACUUAAUGCCCAUUUGGAGAGAACUGCAACUAUUCAAGAUUUCUUUUCAGAUUGAAGAUUGUCAUUGUUACAGAUUCUCAGAAAUGGAAUAUCACUCCCCUCCCUCCCACACACCCCUCUUACACCCUCUCUCCUCAUUCCCAUAUUUACCAAAUUUUCCAAAAUAAAUGUGUACUUUACUCAAAUAUA